GACGAACCGUGCGAACGUUGUUCGGAUUCACUGGGCUUAAAGGGCGCGUAGGCGGACGGUCAAGUCAGGGGUGAAAUCUUUCAGCUCAACUGGAAAAGUGCCUUUGAUACUGAUCGUCUCGAGGGAGGUAGGGGCAUGUGGAACUUCCGGUGGAGCGGUGAAAUGCGUAGAUAUCGGAAGGAACACCGGUGGCGAAAGCGGCGCGCUGGACCUCUUCUGACGCUGAGGCGCGAAAGCCAGGGGAGCAAACGGG
rnacentral:rRNA from 1 species